GACUCAUUCGUUAGUUGAACGUGAACGUGUGAGGUGGUGCGCCAUUCGGUUCGGUCGCUUAACAGACGCCAGAAAUGUUUGUUUGUUUGCUUGAUUUUUUGUUUGUUUAGAUAUCGUGCGGUGAGCGUGAGAGUUUGGACUCUCCAAAUGGUGUGGUGUUGAUGCUUUGUGUUUAUGUGCGAGAGAGCGCCAAGAAAUCGGUGUACGCAGAGUGGGAGCAAACAGUCAUUUUGAUGGGGCAAAAGCGUUGGAGCUAUUAAACUGAAGGGUGGAAGGGCAGCAAAAGCGUUGGUGCAAACAUUUCUGAUCGGUUUUUGCAGCUAAGCAAGCGCACACUCAUAUGCACAUGCAUACAUACAUAGUUGGAAGGGAAAGAAAUACAUUUCUACCUACUCAACAGUGCAAAAUUCGACGCAUUCGCAAAUUUACUCCCGGCGCAGCGGUCAGUGCGUUAUUUCGUUUGUGUGUUGUUGCUAUGCAUUGCCUGCGUCAUAUAUGAACUUUCCGGUGACGCGAGUUCCCCUUUGCGAUUGCAUACACCAUCGUCGUCGUCGUCGUCGUCAUCGUGGUUGUGUUGGGUCGUUGGGUCGAUAUGUCGAUCGGUCUGCAAGUGGAACUACAACAUCUGCUCAAUUAAAUAAUUUAUAAAAGCAUAGCAAAAAAAAAGUGAAGCCGGCAAAGGCAACAACUACAACAAUCGCGAACAAUAGCAUUUGCGAAAAUUUAUCAACCACCAAGCAAGAAGAGGAGCAAAGCACAAAAAAAAAAAACAAUGUUGAGCAGCGAUUAUGCCCGAAAAAAAGCACAAAAAAGUCUCUAAGCAGCUGCAACAGCGGCAGUUUGAAAAUUUGUGAAUUGUAGCAGCAAUCGAUGCAGUAAUCGCAAAUAGUGGUGCUGCAAAAACAACAAUUACAACAAAAUCGCCUCCUAAGCGCAUCAUCAACGCUGAUUUCAGCACACCGCACAGCGUCGUUGUAAUCGCCGCUGGAAGCUGUGACGCUGACGUAAAUGCUGCUGCUGCUGCUGCCGCUCUAUGUGUGUUGCCUAGGCAGUCAGUGGGACAGUAAGCCCACUGUGUUCAGUGUAGUCUGGCGUUGUGCGCGAAAUUGUGAGGUCGUCUUUAGUGGGCGUGCGUGUGAAAUUGUUUUCUAAAUAAAAAAAUCUAAAAAAGGGAUUGCAGUAAUUGGUGUGAUUUUGGCAAAAUAAAAAAAAAUUAAUAAAACCGAAAAUACAGUGCCACGGAAAAAAUAUGAUUCCAAAAUUACUAAAAACACAUGAUGCAAACUAGUUUCCGCGAAAUUAAAAUCGUUCGAAAUUCGAAAUAUGUUAUACGAAAUAUAAAAUUACGAAAAAUAUCAAAAGUCAAAUAAAUUCUAUAGUGCGCUACUUGCAAGUUACACAUUAGCAAACGCAAUUUUUAAUAAACAUUCAUUGAAAAGUUGUGUAAACAGUGAUAUUACAUUUGGAGUUCUGCUAUGAAUUUCCUUCACAUUAUUUCUUUGUGUGUUACAUGGUGUCGCCAUUUUUUAAACAUUGAACUGCAUCCACAAUUGGUUCAAGGAGUCUUCAACAGAUUCGUGGAAACCGGUUGAAUAACUUCCAUACAACCUGCAACAGAUUUGGAAGUCUACAGAUGUUUGACUAUAAAAUCGAAAACGUCAUUAAGUGUGAUCCAAGUCUGCUGUAAAAUUUUCUCUCCUCUCUACUAACGCUUUUUGGGUGUGUACUUAGUAUGUAUGUAUGUACGGCAAUUUUCUAUGUAAAAAACAAAACACUAUUACAAAAUAAACAUAAAAACGAAUUCAAUUAGAAGAAAGAGAUUGAAAGCAAUAUUUAAACGCAAAACUACAUAGACAAUAUUAAUCUGAAGCAAGUGUGUCUGGUGUUAGAAAAGUGUAGCAUAAAAAUACUAAAAAUUGUUGGUUCAAGCAAAUAUUUGAACAAAUUUUAAUACAACUAAAAUACGGGGAAAAAAUUGUAUUUCGUGUAAAAUGGCAUUUGAAACAAAUAAUUCGUGCAAAACAAUGUAGUUCGCUCUAACAAAUUGUAAAGUGUCACCGAAAUUUUAGGAAAGAAAGUAAGCAGUUCCUUGCUGUAGCAACUUGAACAUCUAUGACAGCCCGCAAUGCAUUUUGACUGCUGAAAAUUUUUAAGAAAACACCAUCAUUAAACACCCUCUGUCACGUGCGUACAAUUUUGUAAUGUUCUAAACAAUUCUAAAACAAAAUACAUACAUAAAACAAAGUCAACAGCAAUUGUAACGACCUCAACAACAGGGGGAACCCAAGAACACAUUACAGUAAACGAAAAAUGCAAUAAUUCAAACAAUUCGAGGCAAACUUGUGGCCAUAGCGCCCUAGAAAACAAAGCAUCGGGCAACUACCAUCUUAAAAGCAUAGGCGUCAUUUGGUAACCCAGCCAACAAACAAUACACUCUGCUACAUAUAGCUGGCCUCUGCCUUUACAUUGUGGUUCAUUGUUUCGGCGCUGCUGCUGCUCAACCGAAUUUACUCCUCGCUAGCGCUCACCAAUCAAGCAACAAUCAAACAACUAAAACCAUACGACUGUCUGUCUCAGCGAUUGUUUGACUGACUAACUGACUGGCUGACUGGCCGGUGAGCCGGUUGUGUUGGUGGUUUUAUAGAAUAGUACAAUGUGUCGAUGAUGACGAUGACGAGCAGCAAGCGUGCUUGGAUUGACUGAGUCACUGUGGCCACGGCGGUGGGCAGGCAGGCAGGUAUUGGUUGGUUCAUUUCAUUGUGGUGCUCAGCUGACGCAGUCAUUCGACGACGACGUGGAGCUGUGUGGUUGUUGGUGUUUUUGGAGCACGAACACAGCACAGAGUGGAGCUUCGUACGUCGCUGGCGUUGACGUUGGCCGGCAGUUGCAUUCGACGCGCCAUUCGGAACGGGUUGUUAGACGGGCGGUAGUACCUACAUAAGCACCUAAAUAAGUACACCGUACGACGAGUGGAUAUGUACGUGAUUGGUGCGACGUAGAGAGUUGGGUUGCGCGCGUCGUUAAGGUCGUCAUCGAAUUGUAGUGCUUCUGGGCUGUAUAGAUCAUGCCAAAUACGGGCCGGCAGUUGACAGGCUAGCACAGUGCGCGAAUUAGAAUAGAACUGAGCGAGAACGUGUUGGCAAGUGUAAUGAAGCUGUAAAAAUUGAGUGCCAGCAAAAGAGUGAAUAAAAAUUUAUAUAAAAUAAUUCUGUAAAAAAAAUGUGAUUUUCAAGCAGCAAUUAAAAUAAUAAGAGUUUAAUAAUUUUUGCGAUUCUAACAAAAAAUCUCCAAGUGCGGACAGUAUACGAACUACAUACAUACAUAUAACAACCGUCAAAAAGUCUCGUGCGUGUACAACAUUCCGGUAGCAGCUCUGCACCAAACAAAAAAAAAAAAACAAAACAAAAAAAAAACAAGCAAAAAAAAGUGUGUCAGUGAGUGUACCCGUGUAUUUUGCGAUUUUCGCUCAUUUUGUGUAGCGCAGGCGUGCGCGCCCUUCCCCUUCGACGGCAGCUGUUUAAACAAAAAAGAACAAAAAAAACCCCUUUGUGUCUGUUUUUCGCAUUGUAUCGCUUUAAUUGUUGCCUAGCGAAAUGACUGAUUCCAUAAAAUUAUCCGAAAUGCAACGCAGUAGUAUCGAAUUCGAACGUCAACGACAUUUGGCCAACUGGUUUAUCAAGAGUAGCCCGCACAUGGCAACACCGCAAACAGCGUCCGCGACGACGACAACAACGACGGCAACGGCGACGGGCGCCAGCGUUGCACUAACAACAAGAACAACAACAACAGCAACAACAGCUGCAGCUAUUGGUGCAACAACAGAUAACACAACAGCUAGUAAUGCAACAAAAAAUACAACAACAUCGACAACAAAUCUUGGAGGGGGCCACCACACAAAUGGCAUGUCGUCUUCGGCAGCCAACUCGCACCACCAGCAACAGCAGCACUCGAGCGCCAAGCAUCACAACAGCUGUGGUGGCGGCGGUAGCGGCAAUCCACCGCCCGUCUUCUUCUUAGUCGCCAGCAAUGGCAAUUCAAAUGGCAAUAUUGUGAAUGGCAGCAAACACAGCAGCAAUGCGUCACCGGCUCCUACAGGUGUUGGUACGCCUCCCAAUGCGAUAAGCGCUGUCUCCGGCGGUCCCCUAGGCCAUUUCGCAGCCGUCGAGGGACGCAAACCCAAGCUGCGACGCUUCAAUUCGCACGACACCAGCGCAAAUAUGUUCUCAGUGGCGGACUUCGAGAAUGCACGGUUGGCGCGACGCAAUGAAAUCGAAAUGAAACAGCGUCUGGCACGGCGCAUGCGCAUGAGUGCCACUGGCGGAUACGGCUGUGCGGCUGGCGGUAUGGGCGCGAGCUUGAUUGGUGGCAGUGGCUGUGGGCUGGGUGCCAGUGGUAAUGGCAUGGGUGUGGGUACGGGGGGCGGUAACAGCAUGUGUGGCGGUGGUGACUACUCCACCGGCGAUAGCAAGGCGUCCAAAUAUAGCAAUGAGUCUCAACACGAGCCAUUGCCAGCGGAUAUUUUCCUCGAUCGCUACUCGUUGCCACGCGUUGUACGAAUUUCGUAUAAAACGAAAUUCUCCGACGAAACAUUGCAAUCGUCCUCCUCGAAUGGCUCAUCCACAGCCACGACGAAUACCACAGGCACCAGCGCCAGCGUUUCGAAUUCGUCGGUGAGCGCUUGUGGUCUAACGGUGGCUAUUAACACCGGCACGUCCUCAUCGACGGCCUCCUCAAGCGGUAAUGUGAAUGCGCACAGCUCGGGUGCUACGAACACGAGCAGCAGCGGUGGUGGCGGUGGCGGUGGCGGUGGUGGUGGCAGUGGCGGUAGUGCGGAUAGAGUAGGCUCCAAACAGCACUCAACGCCACACAAUACAACACCUCCAGCCACAACAACUCAGUCAAACACAACAAUUAAUGGUAAUAGCAAUACGGAUGUGGAGAAUCGCGAAGAUCAUGGUGAAUUAUUUCUACUCUAUCGGCUAAUACGACAACGCCAUAUAUUUCAUGGGCAUAAUGCCAAGACUGCUGCAGCAAGUCGCAAGAAAGGUGUGCUUAUACCGCAAGAGUUUCCAGGCUACUUUUCUCUGCUCAAUGACAAGGGCACAGCAACGGCGACCCUCUACACUUCCUUAAUACAGCUCGUACGCGAACGUGUAUACAAAUUCGUUUCAGUCGACAAUAUGCCCGCCUUUACCGAGUCCCAGCCCAACGUCAAUAACCCACCCGCUGAAAGUUGUCUACCCAUGUACACCCAACCACCGCCACCACCGACCAACAAUCGACCACAAUAUGUGAAGACUACGGCACGGGGUGGUCAAGUAUUCCGACUGCUAGCCGUUUUCGAGGAUGGCAAGCAAGACCACUCCAAUACGAUCGGUUGUACCGGUAGUGUGACCGCAAAAUCGAAUAACAAUCAUGGCCGUGAAAAGGAAAAGGGCCGCUAUGCACAGCUGUUGAACGAGAACCGGCAGGUGUUGUACGUUUCGCUCUCCACAAAGGGCAAAUUCUAUGAAAUCGAGCCAGGCAUACCACAAAUAUUACAAAAGCUUGGCGGCAUCGGAAACGAGGCGAAUAAAAAGGCCAAUCCGGAUUGCGUACAUCGCAUAACGGCGUUGAUAACGCCACAGCGCGAAUUGCCGCUGACACUGCGCUACAUUUCCGGUCCACAUGGCUGCAAUAGCGCGAUACCCGAAAAUGUGUGCAUCACACACAUAACCACCGAAAAUGUGGUGAUCGCCUGUCCCAUUGAGGAUGUGGAGGUGCAGAGUCCACUGCACUUACGCAAGCUGCAUCUGUCCAAAGAGAUGAAUUUGUUGAAGAGCUCACUUGGUUUCGAAAGCGAACAACGCAUGCUCGCCAAUCCCAAUGUGCAAAAUAUACUCAAAUUUUGUCAAUUCAAUUGUGAUCAGUUCUUAAAGAUGGUUGAAGUGGAAAUAUUGCACCGUCCGGAGCGCUCGGGUUCCAAGAGCCGUGGCGAAGGUUUGAAAAUCCUCAAGCCACUGCAUUUGCCUAAGCUGUUGCGACGAGAGAAGACCACAAUUCCGGCGCAUGAGAAGGAAGACUCAAUUAUAUUUCUUAGCAAAUCCGACCUCGCCAAUCUGGAGGCGAAGGAAGCUGCAGCGCAGGCAGCUUUCGAAAGCGCGGCGAGCAGUGCAAACCGCAUUACCGAGAAAAUGAAAGUUUUCCAGUCGACAAAGAAAAAGUGGUUCCGCAAGCAAGACAAGCACGCUGCGCACACGUUGACCUCCUACGAAUUGGACGUGCAAGCGAAGCGCAUGAGCAUGGAGCGCUAUUCGGAUAUGUCAAAGCUGUUGCAGGAACGUUUCGGUGACAAGCCAAAUGCGCAAACUCAUGAUGCGCAUGAAUCUGUUUCCGAACCAAGUGGUGGCGCUUCGGAUAUCGGCUGCUCAGAUACGGAGACCACCACAUUGGCAACCAUUGAUGAGAAACUGAGAAAGGUAGAGACGAGUGGCAAUAAAAUGAUAACAAAGUCAAUGUCGCUGCAGGAUAUCGAGCUCAUUAGCGGCGGCGCUGCGGCACGCAAGCCCGACUUGCUGCCAAACGAUACCAUCUCCGAAGCGGGCACCGACCUGGAGGACCUUGAUAACCAGGACCUGAUACCACAGUCAUUUAUAACUGAGAAGCUAUAUAAUGAGUUCCACGUCAAAACGCGCCAGUACAGCAAAUCCUCCUCGAGCCUGCAUCAACUGCUGAACUUUUCGUUGCCACAAAAGAUGCAGCUACAUGACAACAAACGCUCGAUGGCGCAGCUAAAGCACAAUGGCAGUAGUAGCGUAGCUGGAAAGCCAGCAGCCGUCGCUGACAGGCGUCUGGACUUCAACAUUGGCGAGCCGGUGACAGGCAGACGCGCUGCCGGUGGACUUUCACUACUCGCUGGUAACGCUGGCGUUGCCAACAGUCUUGGCAUUUUGGGCCACCAUUCGGCGCUCGCCUCACCGCUCACACCCACCAGCCUGAUCGAUGAUCUGCCCUAUUCAAGCGUGCGCGAUUCGCUGGUGCUCUCGAGCGACGAAUCAGCAUCGGACAAUCCAACAGGCAACAUCUGUCAGGCGCUCAAUAUGAUCGACUACAACAAAGAGAAUAUCUAUGCGGAAAUUUGUCACGACAAUAUUAGUCAUCACGCGGCGGGCAUAACAUCAGUCUCAGCAGCAGCGACCGCUGGCACCACCGUCUCGGCCAUGGGUGGCAUUUGCAGUUCAACUACACGUGACACCUUCUCCGGCGAUACACAUUCCACGCAGAUUUCCGACGACUACGGCGACUAUGCCUCGCUCACAUACACAGCGAUUGAGCGUACUGCUCAACCGAAUAGUAUCCAAACCAGCGGCAGCGCUCUGAGUAAGUCAACAAGUGGACAAACUGUUGUCAACGCUUCGGCACCCACCGCCUUGGCGAUUAGUCGGGUACAAGUCAAUUGCAACUCUGUCAGUCCAGUGAGCUAUCACACCGUUUAUUUGGGCGACGAGCCGCUUGGCAACGAAAAACAACGUGAACGUGGCAAGCGUCACAGCAAGGCGGGCAGUAGCAAGAGUCGCGAGCAUGUCACUACAGUGGCGCUGGAGGGUAACACACCGACAGCCUAUGAACCGCACAAUGCCAGCGGCAAUAUUGGGGCUACAGCUGCUAGCAUCGCCAACGAACUGGAGGAGGUGGCCGAUAACAUUUACAAUACAUUGAAAUGAUGACUAAUGUGAUUUAGUUGGAAAUUGGGUGCAACGGUGUUGAGUAUGGUGAGCAGCGGCAAGGGGUUCUACUGAAUCAAUGCGGCCGCUGACGAGCAUUGCUCAGCAAGUGUGCUCAGCUAGGGGUGCACCAAAAGGAGUGAUUGAAUUUAAUUUACUAUUACAUAAGUAAGAUUCGAACUGCUCGAAAGAGGAAACAGCAUUGUGAUGUUUAGGGCUUUCUAAAUGACAUGAAAGGUGCGUUUGAAAGGCUCAUUGGUACAGAUAUUAGAAAAACAAAAGCACAGCAAUCAACUUCACCUGCAAAAAAAAAAACAAAUAUUUGUAAAUAAAUACAUACAAAAAUAAUUCACUAAUUUGUAGCAGCACAAAAAAUGUAUCAAGAACAAAAACCAUUAAUCACAAUUCACUUCAUCCACUAAAUAAUACGAGCAUCAACCAGACAAUUUAUGAAUACUUUGCACAAAACUAUAAUUUUUCGAAAUUCAAAAAUCUGCAAUCAACACAAUUUUCGCUGACCUGUAAUGAAAAAUUAACAGUUUGCUUAAGUUAGUCAAGAAAGUAUAAAAGCCUGAUUUAACCAGAAAGGUAAGUGAGCUUUUUUAUUUUCUGUAGUAAUAGCCAGGGGGAGUAGUUUUUGAGAGUAUAAUUUUGGAACUUUAGUAUUUGAUUGAAAGCUUGGUUUCUUGUGAAAUCUUUCAAAAAGAGCUUGGGCAAGGCUUUAAGAAGCUGUACGUAAUCACUAUCUUAUAUUUAAAAACUAUGGAUUUGGGUGAAAGCUUGUUUUCUGGUGAAAGCUGUAAAUAAAUGUGUUUAGCGAUGAAAGCAUUCGGAAAUCGCGUAAAGCUUUCCGCAGCUUUUAAACACGUUUUGACAAUUUUAAUGAACUUUCAUUCAUUUCGAUAAAUUUUCUGCUACCUUGAACUUAAAAAAUUCGUAAGCUUGAAUUCUUUGGAGUGUGUCAAUGCGCUUCCAAUGCCUAAUUCUAGUUUUCAUGCAUUUUUAGACUCUUUUCGAAUUUAAGCACUCACUUGAUUUCAUAUUUUUGUAAGCCCUGGGCUUUAGUAAAAUCUGCUCAUAUACCAAUCACGACGAAAAGCUCUCUCUGGUCGUUGCUUACUUUCAGAAACUGAAUAUCAUUUGAAAUGACAGAUUUUUUGUGAAAGCUUUUAAUUUUGUGAAAGCUGCAUAUCAUACGAGCGUAUGUUUACGCCAAGGCUUCCAGUAAUAGUUGAAAAAGUCAUUCACCCCUAUUGCGAGUGUUGACUAGUAGUAGAUAAACGACUGUUAGUCGAUUAUCGAUUAUGUAUGGUAUUUUUAAACUCGUUUUCUCGUUCAAUAAGUGCGUGUGAAUAGUUUAUAGUCGCUUAUAUAUAUUAAGCUUUCUAUACAUUUUGUAUAGUCACGUGCAGAGUAAAAGCUCUCUGCCCAUCGCUGAUUUUAAGGUUUUGUGUUUAGGUUAGAGCUUUCCAAAGGCUUUCUACUUUUCAAGUGCUUUUAGGCUCAGUACAACCGAAAUUUCUGAUUUGUCUUUUUGUGUGGUGAAAUAAUGUUUUCAUUGAGUGAAUUUUAUUUCAGAAAUUCUAAUACUAAAUAUUCAAAAAAUAAAAUAUAAAAAAAUACGUAUUUUCAACUGUAGAACCAUUACAGGGCAGCGAACAACAGAUAAUCUUUGGAAUUUUAAAAAUCGUCUAAGAUCGAGUACUAUA
rnacentral:misc_RNA from 1 species